GAUGGUGCUUGCACUAUCACUUAGCGGCGGACGGGUGAGUAAUGCUUAGGAAUCUGCCUAUUAGUGGGGGACAACAUCUCGAAAGGGAUGCUAAUACCGCAUACGUCCUACGGGAGAAAGCAGGGGAUCACUUGUGACCUUGCGCUAAUAGAUGAGCCUAAGUCGGAUUAGCUAGUUGGUGGGGUAAAGGCCUACCAAGGCGACGAUCUGUAGCGGGUCUGAGAGGAUGAUCCGCCACACUGGGACUGAGACACGGCCCAGACUCCUACGGGAGGCAGCAGUGGGGAAUAUUGGACAAUGGGGGGAACCCUGAUCCAGCCAUGCCGCGUGUGUGAAGAAGGCCUUAUGGUUGUAAAGCACUUUAGGCGAGGAGGAGGCUCUUUUGGUUAAUACCCAAGAUGAGUGGACGUUACUCGCAGAAUAAGCACCGGCUAACUCUGUGCCAGCAGCCGCGGUAAUACAGAGGGUGCAAGCGUUAAUCGGAUUUACUGGGCGUAAAGCGCGCGUAGGCGGCCAAUUAAGUCAAAUGUGAAAUCCCCGAGCUUAACUUGGGAAUUGCAUUCGAUACUGGUUGGCUAGAGUGUGGGAGAGGAUGGUAGAAUUCCAGGUGUAGCGGUGAAAUGCGUAGAGAUCUGGAGGAAUACCGAUGGCGAAGGCAGCCAUCUGGCCUAACACUGACGCUGAGGUGUGAAAGCAUGGGGAGCAAACAGGAUUAGAUACCCUGGUAGUCCAUGCCGUAAACGAUGUCUACUAGCCGUUGGGGCCUUUGAGGCUUUAGUGGCGCAGCUAACGCGAUAAGUAGACCGCCUGGGGGAGUACGGUCGCAAGACUAAAACUCAAAUGAAUUGACGGGGGCCCGCACAAGCGGUGGAGCAUGUGGUUUAAUUCGAUGCAACGCGAAGAACCUUACCUGGUCUUGACAUAGU
rnacentral:rRNA from 1 species